rnacentral:rRNA from 1 species
CGUCAAGUCCUCAUCGGUCCCUUACAUCCCGGGCUACACACGUGCUACAAUGACAGGUACAGAGGGCUGCGAAGCCGCGAGGUGGAGCGAAUACCCAGAAAACCUGUCUCAGUCCGGAUUGAAGUCUGCAACUCGACUUCAUGAAGGCGGAAUCGCUAGUAACCGCGAAUCAGCAGGUCGCGGUGAAUACGUUCCCGGGCCUU